AGGAAAGCCAAAGUUUAUUGGGUCGCCAUGCCAAGACGCAGGACAACGAGACAAUCGAGUGGGAGGUGGAUCUCAUGCAGGGUGAUCGAUCGCUCCGACUCGUAGUUUUAAUGGCACCGUCGUCGUCGAGGGCAUAAACUUCCGCCGAGGAGUAACGUCGAUUCGAUGGAUCGCUAAGCUAAGUUACACGAUAAAACCGUAGGACCAUAGUAGAACUUCUUUUACUACUUUCUCCUAGCACAUACUAGCUGUACCAAGCUACGAAGAACGCUGGCGACAUCGUUUUCAUUGGCCCUCGUCCCCGCGCUGAUCGAUACGAACAACUUGGAUAGAAAGCUGAUCAGUUUCGUGCGGCAUACCUGACGCAGAGCUGUACAAACAAGGUAAUGGCCCAAGUUACUUCAAGGAAGAAGAUCGCGCCCGAUGCCGCCCUGUAAUUUAA